GCCGCGACGGCAGUAGUCUGAAUUGAGUUCGAUUGUGCAAAUCUCGCUAUACGCGCACGGCGCGAACCAUCUCAUGGCCGGAUGGGGCCUGACCCUCAGGACCCCGGAGGGCCCGUCACGCGGUGCGUAGCCCCACUCGACCGCCAUUUCUGUUGGUUCGCACCUCCUUUGAGGAGGUCCCCCAUCACGAGGGUGAAACACCGCUUGCCUCAGACCUUCCCGCGAGCAGAACAGGCAACCAGUGCCUUUGGAACCUCGCACUUGCACACUCCGCGCGGC
rnacentral:RNase_P_RNA from 1 species